rnacentral:tRNA from 1 species
GCCGAGGUGGUGGAAUGGUAGACACGCUGUCUUGAGGGGGCAGUGAGCGAAAGCUCGUAGGAGUUCGAGUCUCCUCCUCGGCACCA